UUAAUAAAAUGUUUGAAGUCUAAACAGUUUUGACAUGAAACUAGAAAGGUUCUUACUCAUAGUCGGUCUAUUGGCCACUCUGAAACCUUUUGUUAAGUGCUAUGAUAGAGUAAGAUGUGACGGCCCAAGUCCGGUUGAUGGAAAUUGCAGCGGAAAGCGUCGAAUAGCGUAUACCUAUCAUACGAAAGUUUGCUGGCAAUUAUGGUAUACUGGAUGCACCAAAUACGGGAGUAAAAAUUUAUUCAGAUCACAUGGAGAAUGCAAAAGGGCUUGCUAUCACUGAGAUAUUUAUCCGAGGGUUUCUAUUCGAUGGAUGCCCUUCUCACCAGGGAAAGUCUCUCCCAGCUCUAAUUGGAACCCCAUUGGCUUAGAGGCCCUGUAAUAUGGUUGUUCUAUAAAAUCCCCCCGUCCCCUGAUA
rnacentral:sRNA from 1 species